CUCUGUGCUUCCUCGUGGGCAUUCCAGGCAUGUCGCCACUUCAAGGCCUUUGCACUGGCUGCUCUUCUGUGUGGAAUCCUUGUCCCUAGGAUUUUCUCAAACCUGAUGAGGAGACUGAGGCUCAAAGACACUAAAUGACUUGCACAAGAUCACCCCAGCUAAUCAAGACUUGAACUCAGAGCGAUAAACUUCAGACUAUUCAGUGUUACCUUUUCCCAAAGCCAAGUGACUCCUGACAAGAAUGAACAGCAUUUAAAGUUCAUACCUGGACGAGAUCAGAGAGGAGGAUUGAGCUGCAAAACACUGUGAUAAUUAAAGAGCAAAUAGAGGAUGAGGAGCCAGCAUUUUGGUUAGAUUGUCUGUCUUUGUUGACAGACAGGACCAGAAAGAUAAUUCAUUGUAUUGCAGAAAGAAAA